UCGGGAAUAUUGCGCAAUGGAGGAAACUCUGACGCAGUGACGCCGCGUAUAGGAAGAAGGUUUUCGGAUUGUAAACUAUUGUCCACAGGGAAGAAACAAGACUGUACCUGUGAAGAAAGCUCCGGCUAACUACGUGCCAGCAGCCGCGGUAAUACGUAGGGAGCAAGCGUUAUCCGGAUUUAUUGGGUGUAAAGGGUGCGUAGACGGGAUUACAAGUUGGUUGUGAAACCCCUCGGCUCAACUGAGGAACUGCAACCAAAACUAUAAUUCUUGAGUGCAGGAGAGGAAAGUGGAAUUCCUAGU
rnacentral:rRNA from 1 species